AGUGAACGCUGGCGGUAGGCCUAACACAUGCAAGUCGAACGGCAGCACAGUAAGAGCUUGCUCUUACGGGUGGCGAGUGGCGGACGGGUGAGGAAUACAUCGGAAUCUACUUUUUCGUGGGGGAUAACGUAGGGAAACUUACGCUAAUACCGCAUACGACCUACGGGUGAAAGCAGUGGAUCUUCGGACCUUGCGCGAUUGAAUGAGCCGAUGUCGGAUUAGCUAGUUGGCGGGGUAAAGGCACACCAAGGCGACGAUCCGUAGCUGGUCUGAGAGGAUGAUCAGCCACACUGGAACUGAGACACGGUCCAGACUCCUACGGGAGGCAGCAGUGGGGAAUAUUGGACAAUGGGCGCAAGCCUGAUCCAGCCAUACCGCGUGGGUGAAGAAGGCCUUCGGGUUGUAAAGCCCUUUUGUUGGGAAAGAAAAGCAGCAGGUUAAUACCCCGCUGUUCUGACGGUACCCAAAGAAUAAGCACCGGCUAACUUCGUG
rnacentral:rRNA from 1 species